UAUAGUGAAGAAAUCACAAUCUCCUCCAUUCUUUCUCUGUCAAACCGAACCACUCCCUCCACCACCAUAAAACUCCAUUAUUCAAUUCCUCUAAAUCCUUCAACAAUCAAGCCUUGCAUAUACCUUUUUCUCUCCACCCAUUAUCAUUGCAACUUGGUAGAUAGAGGUUUCAGCUCUGAUUCUUUCUCCCCUCCCAUAUGUCACAGUCGAAACCACCAUUUGGAUAGACCAAGCUCAAUUUAUCUUUCAUUUGGAGCAUGCAUGUACGAAUUAAGGUUUCAAUCCAUCAAUUUAUACCAAAGGAAAGUUAAGAAUUCUUAUUCAAUCUUGAGGCUUGUAUUCAUUAAUCUUGCUUUGGGUUGGAGUAUUCCAAGUAUUGGAGGUAAAUUAUGAAAAAUUCGUAUGGACCUACUGCUAGUAUUUGAGUGAUAACUGUCACCAUGUAACCCAGAUUUGAAUGGUUGUUGAAUUCUCAGAAUCGGGACGAAUUUCCCUACAGUUUGAGUACCCCUUUCAUAGGUUUUACCUUGGUAACGAAGUCCAGAGAUGUGUUUAAAGAUGGGGUUCUGAUGCUGUAAAGUUGCAGGAUUUUUGGCUGCGGGUUUCUACAUGUUCGAGUCACACGAACUGAUGCAUAAACGUAGAAAAUAUGUUGGAAUCUCGGAUUCACUCAAGGAUUUUCAUCAACGGAAUGAGACAAACAGAUUAUGCAAGACAUGAGUAAGAAGAAGCUGAGGAUUGAAGAUGAUAGAUGAUAGAUGAUAUAUGCUAUUAGCUUCUGCCUUGUUAGUUAGAUUAAUCUGUUAUGUGUAUUUCACCGGAUUAUCUCCGUUGUGUAAUGGAAAUUCAUUUCUUGUACCUAAUGAUGGAUUUAUGUAUUUAUGAAUUUUCCGAACAAUUUACUCUGUAAUUUUAUUGUAUUCGGAUUCCAUUAUGUUAUCCCUGUCAAUAUUCUAGACAAUUGACAUGGAGUG